GAUCCGUAGGUGAACCUGCGGAUGGAUCAUUAACACAAUCCAAAAACACUUGGAGAGUGAAGGAGUCACAUCUUUUGUGAAUCUUUUCUCUUCAUUUUAAAACCCAAACUAGCGAACUUGUCAACGGCGAGUAAGAUUUCAAAUCUUACUCUACCCGUUCGUUUUUUUCUCUAUAUCAAUUUUUUAUUUUGAAAUCACUUCCUUCUUCUUUUCGAAAGGAAAGAAUGAGGAAUGCAACUAAACAAUUUGACUGAGAAAACGUCUUAGGACGCUAAAUGUUGUAAACAAAAAAUACAACUCUUAACAACGGAUAUCUUGGCUCUC
rnacentral:misc_RNA from 1 species